rnacentral:rRNA from 1 species
AACGAACGCUGGCGGCAUGCCUAACACAUGCAAGUCGAACGUGAUCCGGGGCUUCGGUUCCGGUGAAAGUGGCGGACGGGUGAGUAACGCGUGGGAACCUGCCCAGCGGUAGGGGAUAACCGCGGGAAACUGCGGCUAAUACCCUAUGUGCCCUGCGGGGCAAAGAUUCAUCGCCAUUGGAGGGGCCCGCGUCGGAUUAGGUAGUUGGUGGGGUAACGGCCUACCAAGCCAUCGAUCCGUAGCUGGUCUGAGAGGAUGAUCAGCCACACUGGGACUGAGACACGGCCCAGACUCCUACGGGAGGCAGCAGUGGGGAGUAUUGGACAAUGGGGGCAACCCUGAUCCAGCAAUGCCGCGUGAGUGAUGAAGGCCUUAGGGUUGUAAAGCUCUUUCGGCGGGGAAGAUGAUGACGGUACCCGCAGAAGAAGCCCCGGCUAACUUCGUGCCAGCAGCCGCCGUAAAAC